rnacentral:misc_RNA from 1 species
AACGCACAUUGCGCCCCUUGGUAUUCCGAGGGGCAUGCCUGUUCGAGCGUCAUUACAACCCUCAAGCAAUUGCUUGGUAUUGGGCUCCGCUGCUCACCCAGCGGGCCUUAAAAUCAGUGGCGGUGCCGUCAGGCCCUGAGCGUAGUAAACAUCCUCGCUAUAGGGACCUGGUGGACCUGGCCAGCAACCCCCCCAUUUUCUAAGUUUGACCUCGGAUCAGGUAGGGAUACCCGCUGAACUUAA